UAAAAAUAACACCCCGAUUUCCACUUCGAAUUAGUUCACGCUGUCAAACUCUACAACAACAUCAAGGAGCGCUAGAGUGCCCAGGGGAAUUCACCUUUGCCGAUUUCGUCACGCCGGAUCCUCAUCGAACCAACGCUCUUCUCAAUUUUGGUGCCUAUAGGGACGCAAGGUUGAACUGUCUUGGAAAUUGAGGACGAAGUGAAUGCGAUAGAGGCGCAACGAACAGAGUUGGAGGAGAAUAGGAUGUUGCAGGAUGAUGAGAAAGGGAAAUCAUAGAUGGUGCUUGAAAUUAUUGGCUGACAAAAAACAAGUGGUUGCAACAUGCCUGAGAAUAUACAUGAUGAAAUGAGGCUUAAUUUAUUGAUGCGACACAUAUGGUGGUUGAUCUGUUCCAUUUCCAUGUACAUUUUCUAAAACUUAGUUAAAUAAUCUUACUAUAAACUGUAUACUAAAAUUUAAAGAGAGGGGGAAAGUGAUGCCUAUCUCUGUUAAUAUAUAAUCAGGCUAAAGCUUUUUGCAGUUCCAUGGAGGAAAGCAAUGUCCUUGACUCUUAUCUGGCAUAAUAAUAUAUUAAAUAAAGGAGGAUGAAACGUAUCCUGUAUAGGUUCUUUGGUUUUCUUAUUUCCCUUAAAUCAAUGACAGCUUGUUAUUUUACUUUUAAUUUACUUUUAAAAUAGAUUGAUGAAUGUGUAUUGUUAUUUUGUUAAUAUAGAACAUUAGGUAGAGCACUGAGUUACAUUAACAAUAACUGAGACGAAAAAUUAAUCAAGACCAGCUUGGUGACAAACCAACUCUUGAUAUCAUUGAAGAAUUAAAAGCACUUGGUGGAGAUAUUGUUGUACCAGAAAGUUAUACAAAAACCUGGUACUUUAUUUUUUCUUUCU